ACAGGUACAGCACAGGCAGCGACAGUACGAGCUUUCUUCACACCACCCUGCCCAUGUUCCUCAACC
rnacentral:sRNA from 1 species